CCCUAGUCCCACCAUCCCUCCACCCACCCCACAUGAGUCCCCUAGUCCCACCAUCCCUCCACCCACCCCACAUGCCUGUCCUGGGUCUGACAUUCGUCCACCCACCCCACGGUCAUUUCCUGAGCUAUCACCUAUUCCAUCAUUUGACCUGGGUCUUGAUCAAACCCCUCCUGACUUGCAACAGGACCCACCUUCCCACAGUACAUCCACUGGCCCUUCUUCAGCCAUCGACCCACCCCAUGUUCAGCCUGAGCAGCCUGUUGGGUUAGCUGCAGCGGCAGAAGGUCGGCCAAAACGCAUAUCUAAGGCACCUCCUUGUGGGACAGGGGGGCACAAACAUGGACACAACGCUGGGCCGGAGGCAUCUGACGAAGGACAUGCAAGACCUCCUCCUUAUUAUACGAGAAAGCGUAAGGUUCAAAAAAGGUGAAAGGUACAGUUGGGACAUUAGCUGGAGGUAGAUAUUCAUGUGUUUGUGAAUGAUACAAUUCUUGUUGCUGUUAUCUUCGAGUAGCUACAAACUUGUUGCAUCAAUGAUUCUUUGUUGACAAUAUUCUUCUUGUUUCCUCAGCUCUUAUAUUUAUUUAUAGUUUCUCCAUUUC